rnacentral:rRNA from 1 species
GUAGCCAAGACGGGGAGGGAUAAACGCUGAAGGCAUCUAAGCGUGAAGCCCCCCUCAAGAUGAGAUCUCCUAGCAGAAAUGUGAGAGACCCCUUAGAGACGAUGAGGUAGAUAGGGCAGAGGUGGAAGUGCAGCGAUGCAUGGAGCUGACUGCUACUAAUCGGUCGAAAGCUUGACCUG